rnacentral:rRNA from 1 species
AGUGAACGCUGGCGGUAGGCCUAACACAUGCAAGUCGAACGGCAGCACAGUAAGAGCUUGCUCUUACGGGUGGCGAGUGGCGGACGGGUGAGGAAUACAUCGGAAUCUACUUUUUCGUGGGGGACAACGUAGGGCAACUUACGCUAAUACCGCAUACGACCUACGGGUGAAAGCAGGGGAUCUUCGCACCUUGCGCGACUGAAUGAGCCGAUGUCGGAUUAGCUAGUUGGCGGGGUAAAGGCCCACCAAGGCGACGAUCCGUAGCUGGUCUGAGAGGAUGAUCAGCCACACUGGAACUGAGGCACGGUCCAGACUCCUACGGGAGGCAGCAGUGGGGAAUAUUGGACAAUGGGCGCAAGCCUGAUCCAGCCAUACCGCGUGGGUGAUGAAGGCCUUCGGGUUGUAAAGCCCUUUUGUUGGGAAAGAAAAGCAGCAGGUUAAUACCCCGCUGUUCUGACGGUACCCAAAGAAUAAGCACCGGCUAACUUCGUG